CGCUAUCAUCCUACGGGAGGCAGCAGUGGGGAAUAUUGCACAAUGGGCGCAAGCCUGAUGCAGCCAUGCCGCGUGUAUGAAGAAGGCCUUCGGGUUGUAAAGUACUUUCAGCAGUGAGGAAGGCAGGUACGUUAAUAGCGUGCUUGUUUGACGUUAGCUGCAGAAGAAGCACCGGCUAACUCCGUGCCAGCAGCCGCGGUAAUACGGAGGGUGCGAGCGUUAAUCGGAAUUACUGGGCGUAAAGCGCAUGCAGGUGGUUUGUUAAGUCAGAUGUGAAAGCCCGGGGCUCAACCUCGGAAUUGCAUUUGAAACUGGCAGACUAGAGUACUGUAGAGGGGGUAGAAUUUCAGGUGUAGCGGUGAAAUGCGUAGAGAUCUGAAGGAAUACCGGUGGCGAAGGCGGCCCCCUGGACAGAUACUGACACUCAGAUGCGAAAGCGUGGGGAGCAAACAGGAUUAGAUACCCUGGUAG
rnacentral:rRNA from 1 species